rnacentral:rRNA from 1 species
AAAAGAGAUUUAAAAGGAUUUUAUACGGUGGAUGGAUGGGGAUGCGUCUGAUUAGCUUGUUGGCGGGGUAACGGCCCACCAAGGCGACGAUCAGUAGGGGUUCUGAGAGGAAGGUCCCCCACAUUGGAACUGAGACACGGUCCAAACUCCUACGGGAGGCAGCAGGUGAGGAAUAUUGGUCGAAUGGACGAGAGUCUGAACCAGCCAAGUAGCGUGCAGGAAGACGGCCCUAUGGGUUGUAAACUGCGUUUUAUAAGGGAAUAAAGUGAGUCUCGUGAGACUUUUUGCAUGUACCUUAUGAAUAAGGACCGGCUAAUUCCGUG